rnacentral:rRNA from 1 species
GGUCCUAAGGUAGCGAAAUUCCUUGUCGGGUAAGUUCCGACCUGCACGAAUGGCGUAACGACUUGGGCGCUGUCUCAACGAGGGAUCCGGUGAAAUUGUAGUCUCGGUGAAGAUGCCGAGUACCCGUGGUUGGACGGAAAGACCCCGUGAACCUUUACUACAGCUUGACGUUGGAGUCUGGGAUUUGUUGUCCAGGAUAGGUGGGAGGCUGUGAAGCGGGGACGCCAGUCCUCGUGGAGCCAACCUUGGGAUACCACCCUUCGUGUUCUGGGCUUCUAACCCGCUGCCGUGAUCCGGGGCGGGAACAGCGUCAGGUGGGUAGUUUGACUGGGGCGGUCGCCUCCUAAAAUGUAACGGAGGCGCGCAAAGGUUCCCUCAGCACGGUUGGAAAUCGUGCGUAGAGUGCAAAGGCAUAAGGGAGCUUGACUGCGAGACAGACAUGUCGAGCAGGCGCGAAAGCGGGCCUUAGUGAUCCGGCGGUAACUAGUGGACGUGCCGUCGCUCAACGGAUAAAAGGUACUCCGGGGAUAACAGGCUUAUCCUUCCCAAGAGUCCACAUCGACGGAAGGGUUUGGCACCUCGAUGUCGGCUCGUCGCAUCCUGGGGCUGGAGCAGGUCCCAAGGGUUGGGCUGUUCGCCCAUUAAAGCGGUACGCGAGCUGGGUUCAGAACGUCGUGAGACAGUUCGGUCCCUAUCCACCAUGGGCGCUGGAGCUUUGAGAGGAGUCGUCUCUAGUACGAGAGGACCGAGACGAACAGACCUCUGGUGUAUCAGUCGUCGUGCCAACGGCGCUGCUGAUUAGCCACGUCUGGAUGGGAUAACCGCUGAAAGCAUCUAAGCGGGAAGCCCACCUCGAGAUGAGAGCUCCCAUCCCCUCGAGGGAGUAAGGGCGGUCGCAGACUACGACCUCGAUAGGCGGGACGUGCAAGCGCAGCAAUGCGUUCAGCGCACCCGUACUAAUCGCCCGAGGUCUUGAUUUG